rnacentral:rRNA from 1 species
GCGGCCCGGUGGCGCAGCUAACGCGUUAAGCACCCCGCCUGGGGAGUACGGUCGCAAGAUUAAAACUCAAAGGAAUUGACGGGGACCCGCACAAGCGGUGGAGCAUGUGGUUUAAUUCGAGGCAACGCGAAGAACCUUACCAGACCUUGACAUGCCGGUCGCGGGGAGCAGAGAUGCACCCCUUCAGCUUGGCUGGACCGUGCACAGGUGCUGCACGGCUGUCGUCAGCUCGUGUCGUGAGAUGUUGGGUUAAGUCCCGCAACGAGCGCAACCCUCGUCCUUAGUUGCCAUCAGUUCGGCUGGGAACUCUAAGGAAACUGCCGGCGUUAAGCCGGAGGAAGGUGGGGAUGACGUCAAGUCCUCAUGGCCCUUAUGGUCUGGGCUACACACGUGCUACAAUGGCGGUGACAAUGGGAUGCGAGCCCGCGAGGGUGAGCGAAUCUCAAAAAGCCGUCCCAGUUCGGAUUGCAGGCUGCAACUCGCCUGCAUGAAGUUGGAAUCGCUAGUAAUCGUAGAUCAGCAUGCUACGGUGAAUACGUUCCCGGGUCUUGC